AGUGAACGCUGGCGGUAGGCCUAACACAUGCCAGUCGAACGGCAGCACAGUAAGAGCUUGCUCUUACGGGUGGCGAGUGGCGGACGGGUGAGGAAUACAUCGGAAUCUACUUUUUCGUGGGGGAUAACGUAGGGAAACUUACGCUAAUACCGCAUACGACCUACGGGUGAAAGCAGGGGAUCUUCGGACCUUGCGCGAUUGAAUGAGCCGAUGUCGGAUUAGCUAGUUGGCGGGGUAAAGGCCCACCAAGGCGACGAUCCGUAGCUGGUCUGAGAGGAUGAUCAGCCACACUGGAACUGAGACACGGUCCAGACUCCUACGGGAGGCAGCAGUGGGGAAUAUUGCACAAUGGGCGCAAGCCUGAUCCAGCCAUACCGCGUGGGUGAAGAAGGCCUUCGGGUUGUAAAGCCCUUUUGUUGGGAAAGAAAAGCAGCAGGUUAAUACCCCGCUGUUCUGACGGUACCCAAAGAAUAAGCACCGGCUAACUUCGUG
rnacentral:rRNA from 1 species